AGCAUUCAGAUGUGACUUC
rnacentral:snRNA from 1 species